UACGUAGGGUGCAAGCGUUGUCCGGAAUUAUUGGGCGUAAAGAGCUCGUAGGCGGUUUGUCGCGUCGGCUGUGGAAAACCUGGGGCUCAACCCCGGGCCUGCAGCCGAUACGGGCAAACUAGAAUUCGGUAGGGGAGACUGGAAUUCCUGGUGUAGCGGUGAAAUGCGCAGAUAUCAGGAGGAACACCGGUGGCGAAGGCGGGUCUCUGGGGCCGAUAUUGACGCUGAGGAGCGAAAAGCGUGGGGGAGCGAACAGG
rnacentral:rRNA from 1 species